UACGUAGGUGGCAAGCGUUAUCCGGAAUUAUUGGGCGUAAAGCGCGCGCAGGCGGUUUCUUAAGUCUGAUGUGAAAGCCCACGGCUCAACCGUGGAGGGUCAUUGGAAACUGGGGAACUUGAGUGCAGAAGAGAAAAGCGGAAUUCCACGUGUAGCGGUGAAAUGCGUAGAUAUCUGGAGGAACACCGGUGGCGAAGGCGGCAUCCUGGACCGAUAUUGACGCUGAGGCGCGAAAGCCAGGGGAGCAAACGGG
rnacentral:rRNA from 1 species